UACGAAGGGGGCUAGCGUUGCUCGGAAUCAUUGGGCGUAAAGGGUGCGUAGGCGGCGCGGUAAGUCGGGUGUGAAAUCUCGGAGCUUAACUCCGAAACUGCAUUCGAUACUGCCGUGCUUGAGGACUGGAGAGGAGACUGGAAUUUACGGUGUAGCGGUGAAAUGCGUAGAUAUCGUAAGGAAGACCAGUGGCGAAGGCGGGUCUCUGGACAGUUCCUGACGCUGAGGCACGAAGCCGGGGAGCAAACGGG
rnacentral:rRNA from 1 species